rnacentral:rRNA from 1 species
CCUACGGGUGGCAGCAGUGGGGAAUAUUGCACAAUGGGGGAAACCCUGAUGCAGCGACGCCGCGUGAGUGAUGAAGUAUUUCGGUAUGUAAAGCUCUAUCAGCAGGGAAGAAAAUGACGGUACCUGAGUAAGAAGCCCCGGCUAACUACGUGCCAGCAGCCGCGGUAAUACGUAGGGGGCAAGCGUUAUCCGGAUUUACUGGGUGUAAAGGGAGCGUAGACGGUCGUGCAAGCCAGGAGUGAAAGGCCGGGGCUUAACCCCGGGAGUGCAUUGGAAACUGUAAGGCUAGAGUGUAGGAGAGGUAAGUGGAAUUCCUAGUGUAGCGGUGAAAUGCGUAGAUAUUAGGAGGAACACCAGUGGCGAAGGCGGCCUACUGGACGGUGACUGACGUUGAGGCUCGAAAGCGUGGGGAGCAAACAGGAUUAGAUACCCCAGUAGUC